UCAAAUAAGCACAGCCUUUACAGUUAGCUC
rnacentral:piRNA from 1 species